ACCGACUAAUGUUGAAAAAUUAGCGGAUGACUUGUGGCUGGGGGUGAAAGGCCAAUCAAACCGGGAGAUAGCUGGUUCUCCCCGAAAGCUAUUUAGGUAGCGCCUCGUGAACUCAUCUCCGGGGGUAGAGCACUGUUUCGGCAAGGGGGUCAUCCCGACUUACCAACCCGAUGCAAACUGCGAAUACCGGAGAAUGUUAUCACGGGAGACACACGGCGGGUGC
rnacentral:rRNA from 1 species